rnacentral:rRNA from 1 species
GACGAACGCUGGCGGCGUGCUUAACACAUGCAAGUCGAACGGUGAUGCUCCAGCUUGCUGGAGUGGAUCAGUGGCGAACGGGUGAGUAACACGUGAGCAACCUGCCCCAGACUCUGGAAUAAGCGCUGGAAACGGCGUCUAAUACUGGAUACGAAACUGGCCCGCAUGGGCAUGGUUUGGAAAGUUUUUCGGUUUGGGAUAGGCUCGCGGCCUAUCAGCUUGUUGGUGAGGUAAUGGCUCACCAAGGCGACGACGGGUAGCCGGCCUGAGAGGGCGACCGGCCACACUGGGACUGAGACACGGCCCAGACUCCUACGGGAGGCAGCAGUGGGGAAUAUUGCACAAUGGGCGAAAGCCUGAUGCAGCGACGCCGCGUGAGGGAUGACGGCCUUCGGGUUGUAAACCUCUUUCAGCAGGGAAGAAGCGAAAGUGACGGUACCUGCAGAAGAAGCACCGGCUAACUACGUG